UUAGGCUUUCCCUUUGUGUCAGUGAAACCAAAAGUGCUUCUUAUAACUUUAGCUCCAUUCAUGGCUUGUCUAUCUAACAUCUAGCAGCAUUGGAGAGACUGCAGCUGGGCGAUGAAGACGCAUCAGCUCAUGGCCUCAGUCAGUUCGUUCUUUAAUUUCCUCACCAAAUUAUUGACUCAGAGCAUAACCAAAGACCUCAUCCAUUCGCCCCUGGUGGGUGCAGGGAAUUUGAGUUCGGUGGUAAAGCUUAGGCAGGGUGCAGGGAGUAGGGAAGGGGAAAGGGAGAAGUGAGAAAGGGAAAAGGCAUGAAGUUCUAUACCUCAGCCAGCAGCUGCCUUCGCUUUCAACUGAAGUCCAGCCGGCAGACUCUCUAGUUCCAUUUCCUCUGUGCCACCCUAGGUCAUGUGGCCUUGGUGGCCCUGGAUUACAUCCAACGCCCCUAGGAUAUUCGUCUCAGGCUGCUGAUGGGUUGAUUUGACAUGAAUCACAUACAGCCAAACUUGAUGCCCACAGAGUGUCAGCUGGGCCUGACUGAGUGCUGCCCCAACUCCUAUGACAGUAAGAUCACGGAGAUAGGAUAGAGUACAUCUUUACUGGCGGUGGAUCAGUUUGUGAAAAAGAGGUGUCCCCUUUAUAAAGAGAUUUUCAAGUGGAUAUAUAUAAAAGAAACAGUUGCUUGUGAAAUAUACUUUUAUAAAUAAUAUUUAAUUUUUUAAAUAAUAUAUUUGGUGCUGUUUUCUCAGAUCCCCUGAGAGCACUUUUUAUUUUCAUUUUUAAAUCCUAUGGUUUCCUCUGCAUUUCUUGAAGUAUAUUUUAAGGGAAACAGUGAUCACCAAUAUACUCUUUUUUAAAAAAGAGCUCUAUCACUUUAGUCUGGACAGAGGCAGUAAAGCAGUGCCUCUCUACAUUUCUUCCCAGUGGAACAGACUCUGCAGUACAUUACCAGGUUGAGAGUUGAAAUAUUUUCUUGCACCAAUAUUGGCUAGAAAAGAAAAUAAAUAAAAUCAAAUAAAUUUAGUAACAACUUAGAGUGAUUCCUCUUGUUGGAAGAAUGUCCAACGAGUUGGAAUCUUGUUUUUAAUUGUGUGUGUGUAUGCGUGUGUGUCUGUGUGUGUGUGUCUAUAAA